AUUGAACGCUGGCGGCAGGCCUAACACAUGCAAGUCGAGCGGCAGCGGGAAAGUAGCUUGCUACUUUUGCCGGCGAGCGGCGGACGGGUGAGUAAUGCCUGGGAAAUUGCCCAGUCGAGGGGGAUAACAGUUGGAAACGACUGCUAAUACCGCAUACGCCCUACGGGGGAAAGCAGGGGACCUUCGGGCCGUGCGCGCUUGGAUACGCCCAGGUGGGAGUAGCUAGUUGGUGAGGUAAUGGCUCACCAAGGCGACGAUCCCUAGCUGGUCUGAGAGGAUGAUCAGCCACACUGGAACUGAGACACGGUCCAGACUCCUACGGGAGGCAGCAGUGGGGAAUAUUGCACAAUGGGGGAACCCUGAUGCAGCCAUGCCGCGUGUGUGAAGAAGGCCUUCGGGUUGUAAAGCACUUUCAGCGAGGAGGAAAGGUCAGUAGCUAAUAUCUGCUGACUGUGACGUUACUCGCAGAAGAAGCACCGGCUAACUCCGUGCCAGCAGCCGCAGUAAUAC
rnacentral:rRNA from 1 species